rnacentral:rRNA from 1 species
UAACGUGCGAAGGGGUUACCUCGAGUGCCACCUGAAGAAGGUGGCUUUUCCUUGGUCUAAAAAGCCUCGGGAAUAAGAGGGGGGCAAGACUGGUGUCAGCCGCCGCGGUAACACCAGCCCCUCGAGUGGUGGGGAUGAUUAUUUGGCCUAAAGCGUCCGUAGCCUGCCGGGUAAGUCUCCCGUUAAAUCCAACGUCUCAAGCGUUGGACUGCGGGAGAUACUGCCUGGCUAGAGAGUGGGAGAGGCCAGCGGUAUUCUGGGGGUAGGGGCGAAAUCCUUUGAUCCCCGGAGGACCACCAGUGGCGAAGGCUGCUGACUAGAACACGUCUGACGGUCAGGGACGAAAGCUGGGGUAGCGAACCGGAUUAGAUACCCGGGUAGUCCCAGCCGUAAACGAUGCAUGCUAGGUGUUGGGUUGGCCACGAGCCACCCCAGUGCCGCAGGGAAGCCGUUAAGCAUGCCGCCUGGGAAGUACGAUCGUAACGUGCGAUAACGUGCGAUAACGUGCGAG